rfam:Bradyrhizobium erythrophlei strain GAS478 genome assembly, contig: Ga0132009_11
CGGGGAAACACAGGCUCCCCGCCAGACGGUCAAACCGUCCAAGCUCUGU